rnacentral:rRNA from 1 species
CAGUCGCCACGGUAAUACGGAGGGUGCAAGCGUUAAUCGGAAUUACUGGGCGUAAAGCGCACGCAGGCGGUCUGACAAGUCAGAUGUGAAAUCCCCGGGCUUAACCUGGGAACUGCAUUUGAAACUGUCAGGCUGGAGUCUUGUAGAGGGGGGUGGAAUUCCAGGUGUAGCGGUGAAAUGCGUAGAGAUCUGGAGGAAUACCGGUGGCGAAGGCGGCCCCCUGGACAAAGACUGACGCUCAGGUGCGAAAGCGUGGGGAGCAAACAGGAUUAGAUACCCGAGUAGUCCCUGUCUCUUAUAU